UUUGCUGGAGUUUCGUUUUAUUAGUGACAUCGCUCUGGUGACAGCGGCGGCAAGUAGAAACAGUGGCUUAGCAACAGCAGUUAUAAAAGAAAGCAUUACUCCGAAUUUCGCUUAAGUUUGAAUUCAAUAGCUCAGGUUACCGUCGCCCAAUAUUACUUCAAGCGAGUGUGACAGCGUAAAGUAUAGGCCUGGCAGCUCAUCUCUGGUGAGCUCUCACACAUGCUUUACACCGCAGGUGUUGCCCUGAGGCUUGCGUUGUGCCAACAAGUCAUACCUACGUAUAUUUAGAACGCCGUCCAAGCAGUUCAGGAGCAGCACUAAACCUUCCUGUGACUGUCAAUGCAUCGCCCUUCGGUUGAAGCUGCCGGUAACAUCACAGCAGGGACCACCUUUCGGACCUGUAGGCAAAUAAUAUUAAAGCACACGGACAUCUUCAUGAAGCACCACAUGAUAUUCAACGGCUCCUCUGAUUGAAAAUAUAAAGAAAAAAGACACAACUUUAUACUUGGACUUGAUGAGAGCUUUUAGGCUCACAAGGCUAAAAAACUACGGUAGGCAUUUGGAGGAAGAUGAUCCACCCACUGGCUUCACAUAUCUUAAGGCUGCUACUGUCCGAUGGAGCUUCGUAGGAGAACUACUGCUGCUCACGUGGCGGCACAACGUUGGAUGGACGCACAGAGCAUUUAUAUAGAGCAAAAUGAACCUUUCCUCCCUUACCAG